rnacentral:rRNA from 1 species
CUUGGAACAGGACGUCAUAGAGGGUGAGAAUCCCGUUUGGCGAGGAUACCUUUUCUCUGUAAGACUUUUUCGAAGAGUCGAGUUGUUUGGGAAUGCAGCUCAAAGUGGGUGGUAAAUUCCAUCUAAAGCUAAAUAUUGGCGAGAGACCGAUAGCGAACAAGUACAGUGAUGGAAAGAUGAAAAGAACUUUGAAAAGAGAGUGAAAAAGUACGUGAAAUUGUUGAAAGGGAAGGGCAUUUGAUCAGACAUGGUGUUUUUUGCAUGCACUCGCCUCUCGUGGGCUUGGGCCUCUCAAAAAUUUCACUGGGCCAACAUCAAUUCUGGCAGCAGGAUAAAUCAUUAAGAAUGUAGCUACUUCGGUAGUGUUAUAGCUUUUUGGAAUACUGUUAGCCGGGAUUGAGGACUGCGCUUCGGCAAGGAUGUUGGCAUAAUGGUUAAAUGCCGCCCGUCU